AGCAGCCGCGGUAAUUCCAGCUCCAAUAGCGUAUAUUAAAGUUGCUGCAGUUAAAAAGCUCGUAGUUGAAUUUCGGGGUCAAUAUGUUGGUCGUGCCUUGGUACGUACUAGCUUAUUGAUUUCUCCUUUCUGACGAACCAUGAUGUCAUUAAUUUGGUGUCAUGGGGAAUCAGGACUGUUACUUUGAAAAAAUUAGAGUGUUUAAAGCAGGCUCGCGCUUGAAUACAUUAGCAUGGAAUAAUGAAAUAGGACAUUUGAUUCUAUUUUGUUGGUUUCUAGGAUCGAUGUAAUGAUUAAUAGGGAUAGUUGGGGGCAUUAGUAUUCAAUUGUCAGAGGUGAAAUUCUUGGAUUUAUUGAAGACUAACUACUGCGAAAGCAUUUGCCAAGGAUGUUUUCAUUAAUCAAAAACGAAAGUUAGGGGAUCGAAGACGAUCAGGUACCGUCGUAGUCUUAACCAUAAACUAUGCCGACUAGGGAUCGGAUGAUGUUAAUUUUUUAAUGACUCA
rnacentral:rRNA from 1 species